rnacentral:rRNA from 1 species
AUGAGUUUAUAUACUGUAGCAAUCAAGGUUCUCAAUCUUGGCAAACGAGGAGCUAAUAGAAGCUUUUUGAGAGAGAGUGAGGCCCUAAGGAAGAUUCGACACCGGAAACUUGUCAAAGUGAUCACUGUGUGUAGCAGUUUGGACCGUAAUGGUGAUGAGUUCAAGGCACUUGUCUUAGAGUUUAUAUGCAAGGGAAAUUUAGAUGAGUGGUUGCAUCCAAACUCCAUGACUAACAACAGGAACUUUAGAAGGCUAAGUUUGAUGGAAAGGCUAUGUAUUACUCUUGAUGUUGUUGAGGCAUUAGAAUAUCUUCACCAUCAAAUUGAUCCAUCCAUAGUUCACUGUGAUAUCAAACCAUGCAACAUCCUUCUAGAUGAUGACUUUGUUGCGCACGUCACCGACUUUGGUCUGGCAAAGAUAAUGCAUACUGAAGAAUGUGAGCACGGUGGUGGUGGAUAUUCUUGGCAUGACAACAAUUGUAUAUUCUUGGUAUCAUAA